rnacentral:rRNA from 1 species
GUUAUAGGAUCAAGCGACUAAGUGCAUGUGGUGGAUGCCUUGGCGAUCACAGGCGAUGAAGGACGUGCAAGCCUGCGAAAAGCGGGGGAGCUGGCAAUGAAGCUUUGAUCCCCGAUAUCCGAAUGGGGAAACCCGGCCCGCAAGGGUCAUCUUUACCUGAAUACAUAGGGUAUUGAAGCGAACCCGGCGAACUGAAACAUCUAAGUAGCCGGAGGAAAAGAAAUCAACCGAGAUUCCCCAAGUAGUGGCGAGCGAACGGGGAAGAGCCUGCUAGUGAUAGCAGCAUUGUUAGCAGAACGGAAUGGAAAGUCCGGCCGUAGCGGGUGAUAGCCCCGUAUGCGAAAACAGCGCUGUGGUACUNGAGUUAGCGACAAGUAGGGCGGGGCACGUGAAACCUUGUCUGAACAUGGGNGGCCCAUCCUCCAAGGCUAAAUACUCGUGAUCGACCGAUAGUGAACUAGUACCGUGAGGGAAAGGCGAAAAGAACCCCGGGAGGGGAGUGAAAUAGAUCCUGAAACCGCAUGCAUACAAACAGUGGGAGCCGACUUGUUCGGUGACUGCGUACCUUUUGUAUAAUGGGUCAGCGACUUACGUUGUGUUGCGAGCUUAACCGAAUAGGGAGGCGUAGCGAAAGCGAGUCCGAACAGGGCGUUGAGUAGCACGGCGUGAACCGAAACCGGAUGAUCUAUCCAUGGCCAGGAUGAAGGUGCCGUAACAGGUACUGGAGGUCCGAACCCACUAACGUUGAAAAGUUAGGGGAUGAGCUGUGGAUAGGGGUGAAAGGCUAAACAAAUCCGGAAAUAGCUGGUUCUCCCCGAAAACUAUUUAGGUAGUGCGUCAUGUAUCACUUGCGGGGGUAAAGCACUGUUAUGGCUAGGGGUCAUCGCGAUUUACCAAACCAUGGCAAACUCUGAAUACCGCAAAGUGCGAGCAUGGCAGACAGACAGUGGGUGCUAACGUCCAUUGUCAAGAGGGAAACAACCCAGACCGCCAGCUAAGGUCCCCAAGACACAGUUAAGUGGGAAACGAAGUGGGAAGGCAUAGACAGCUAGGAGGUUGGCUUAGAAGCAGCCAUCCUUUAAAGAAAGCGUAAUAGCUCACUAGUCGAGUCGUCNNCUGCGCGGAAGAUGUAACGGGGCUCAAACUGUGCACCGAAGCUGCGGAUAUCGAAAGAUAUGGUAGGGGAGCGUUCUGUAGGUCUGUGAAGGUGUCUCGUAAGGGAUGCUGGAGAUAUCAGAAGUGCGAAUGCUGACAUGAGUAGCGAUAAAGCGUGUGAAAAGCACGCUCGCCGAAAGCCCAAGGUUUCCUACGCAACGUUCAUCGGCGUAGGGUGAGUCGGCCCCUAAGGCGAGGCUGAAAAGCGUAGUCGAUGGGAAACAGGUCAAUAUUCCUGUACCUUGUACAAGUGCGAUGUGGGGACGGAGAAGGUUAGGUCAGCCGGGUGUUGGACGUCCCGGUUUAAGCGUGUAGGCGUGCCCCUUAGGCAAAUCCGGGGGCUGAGCUGAGGCGUGAUGACGAGGAACCACGGUUCCGAAGUGAUUGAUACCAGGCUUCCAGGAAAAGCCACUAAGCUUCAGCUUGUAUGAGACCGUACCGCAAACCGACACAGGUGGGCAGGAUGAAAAUUCUAAGGCGCUUGAGAGAACUCAGGAGAAGGAACUCGGCAAAUUGACACCGUAACUUCGGGAGAAGGUGUGCCCCGGUAGCGUGUAAAGACUUGCUCUUGAAGCGCGAUGGGGUUGCAGUGAAAUGGUGGCUGCGACUGUUUAAUAAAAACAUAGCACUCUGCAAACACGAAAGUGGACGUAUAGGGUGUGACGCCUGCCCGGUGCCGGAAGGUUAAGUGAUGGGGUGCAAGCUCUUGAUCGAAGCCCCGGUAAACGGCGGCCGUAACUAUAACGGUCCUAAGGUAGCGAAAUUCCUUGUCGGGUAAGUUCCGACCUGCACGAAUGGCGUAACGAUGGCCACACUGUCUCCUCCUGGGACUCAGCGAAGUUGAAAUGGUUGUGAAGAUGCAAUCUCCCCGCGGCUAGACGGAAAGACCCCAUGAACCUUUACUGUAGCUUUGCAUUGGACUUUGAACCGGUUUGUGUAGGAUAGGUGGGAGACUGUGAAGCCGGGACGCCAGUCCUGGUGGAGUCAACCUUGAAAUACCACCCUGACUUGUUUGAGGUUCUAACCUUGGUCCGUGANNAUCCGGAUCGGGGACCGUGCAUGGUAGGCAGUUUGACUGGGGCGGUCUCCUCCCAAAAGGUAACGGAGGAGUACGAAGGUACGCUUAGGGCGGUCGGACAUCGCCCAUAAAGUGCAAUGGCAAAAGCGUGCUUGACUGCGAGACCCACAAGUCGAGCAGGUACGAAAGUAGGUCAUAGUGAUCCGGUGGUUCUGUAUGGAAGGGCCAUCGCUCAACGGAUAAAAGGUACUCUGGGGAUAACAGGCUAAUUCCUCCCAAGAGUUCAUAUCGACGGGGAGUNUUGGCACCUCGAUGUCGGCUCAUCACAUCCUGGGGCUGUAGUCGGUCCCAAGGGUAUGGCUGUUCGCCAUUUAAAGUGGUACGCGAGCUGGGUUUAAAACGUCGUGAGACAGUUUGGUCCCUAUCUGCCGUGGGCGCUGGAAAUUUGAAGGGNGCUGCUCCUAGUACGAGAGGACCGGAGUGGACGUUCCUCUGGUGUACCGGUUAUGACGCCAGUCGUAUCGCCGGGUAGCUAAGAACGGAAGAGAUAAACGCUGAAAGCAUCUAAGCGUGAAACUCGCCUUAAGAUGAGAUUUCCCGGAGUCUUGAACUCCCUGAAGGGUCGUCGUAGACCACGACGUUGAUAGGUCAGGUGUGGAAGCGCAGCAAUGCGUUAAGCUAACUGAUACUAAUUGCCCGUGCGGCUUGAUCCUAUAACCUU